rnacentral:rRNA from 1 species
GACGUUUCUGACAGAAGAAGCACCGGCUAACUCCGUGCCAGCAGCCGCGGUAAUACGGAGGGUGCGAGCGUUAAUCGGAAUUACUGGGCGUAAAGCGUACGCAGGCGGUUUGUUAAGCGAGAUGUGAAAGCCCCGGGCUCAACCUGGGAACUGCAUUUCGAACUGGCAAACUAGAGUGUGAUAGAGGGUGGUAGAAUUUCAGGUGUAGCGGUGAAAUGCGUAGAGAUCUGAAGGAAUACCGAUGGCGAAGGCAGCCACCUGGGUCAACACUGACGCUCAUGUACGAAAGCGUGGGGAGCAAACGGGAUUAGAUACCCCGGUAGUCCACGCCGUAAACGAUGUCUACUAGAAGCUCGGAACCUCGGUUCUGUUUUUCAAAGCUAACGCAUUAAGUAGACCGCCUGGGGAGUACGGCCGCAAGGUUAAAACUC